rnacentral:lncRNA from 1 species
AUUGUAAAAAAGACUAACACUUCUGCCUUUGCACUACUAGGGAUUAGAGGGUGUACCAUGAUGCGUUGGCUAACAAAAGGUGGAGGUGCCCUGACUAGCCUUAUGAGAGAUAAAUGUUUAUCAUUAUUUUGGUUGUAUAUGUAUAUAUUCAUGUGCAAAUCCACUACAUGUUAUGCCAAGUAAUGUGCAUAUAUGUGUUUCUAAAGGAUAAACUGUGAUGUUAAUGAAGAAAGGGCAAGUCGCAAAAUUUGCAGAGGGU